UUCCGGAGUGGGCAUGCCGCAUGACAAGGGCCACCCAGAACUGGCUCAACUCCAAUCAAUCCAAGUUUCCGGAGGAGAUCACCCAGUUCCUCAUGCUAGAGCAAGUUUUCAAUGGGCUCCCCAAUGACAAGGCGACGACACAUUAGUUUGUCAUCCAUAUCAACUUUCGAUGCCAUUUACUGCGCCUACCAUGGUGACCAUGGGUAACAGGGAAUCAGGGUUUGAUUCCUGAGAGGGAGCCUGAGAAACAGCUACCACAUUCAAGGAAGGCAGCAGGCACGCAAAUGACCCACUCCCGACGCGGAAGGUAGUGACGA